rnacentral:rRNA from 1 species
GCGUUGGACCGCACACAAGUCUGUUGGAAUACAGCGGCAUAGUGGUGAGACCCCCGUAUAUGGUGCGGACGCCCAGCGCUUUGUGAUACAUUUUCGAAGAGUCGAGUUGUUUGGGAAUGCAGCUCAAAUUGGGUGGUAAAUUCCAUCUAAAGCUAAAUAUUGGCGAGAGACCGAUAGCGAACAAGUACCGUGAGGGAAAGAUGAAAAGCACUUUGGAAAGAGAGUUAACAGUACGUGAAAUUGUUGGAAGGGAAACGCUUGAAGUCAGACUUGCUUGCCGAGCAAUCGGUUUGCAGGCCAGCAUCAGUUUUCCGGGAUGGAUAAUGGUA